CUUUCGCCCAGCUCCCAGUAUCGUCUGCUAUACCUCAGUUUGCAUCGUGACGCGUGCUCCGCAGCUUAUAUCGCUAGCAAUCAGCUGCUCCUGCUGUAAAAGCAGUCUGUUGUGUUUGCUUUAAUAACACGCGAGCUUGUGUAGCUCUGUUCUCAUACGAUGUGCGUGUGCGACGUUUCGACAUUCCUCGUCAUAUCUGGCGAUCGAUAUUGAAAAAAAAUUAUUCUACAACCACUGCUUUGUGUUGUGCGUGCGUAUUUAUUGCGUGUGUAUGUGUGCGUGUGUCAAGAUUGUGCCGUUGAGUUGUACUAUUCAGAACAUGCAGAGCUAACUGACCAAAACGUUUUAUGUGUUGGUCUAUAUAAUAUGCAUACACGUAUGUGCAUAUAUGUCUAGAUAUGCGCUGAUAUAUAGACCAAAAAAAUAAAGUAUCAAGAUGUUGAUAAAGGAGUAUCGCAUACCUCUUCCGCUGACAGUGGAAGAAUAUAGAAUCGCCCAGCUGUAUAUGAUAGCUAAAAAAUCGAGAGAGGAAAGCAAGGGUGCCGGUAGCGGCGUGGAGAUAAUUGUCAACGAGCCCUACACGAACGGGCCCGGCGGCAAUGGACAGUACACACACAAGAUCUACCACGUGGGCAGCCACUUGCCUGGUUGGUUCAAGAGUCUGCUGCCCAAGUCGGCCCUCAUCGCCAAAGAGGAGGCCUGGAAUGCCUACCCGUACACCAAGACUCGAUAUACCUGCCCUUUCGUCGAGAAAUUUUCCGUAGAAAUCGAGACGUAUUACUUCCCCGAUAAUGGCCAUCAGGACAACGUUUUUCAGCUUGGUGGCAGUGACUUGCGAAAUCGCAUCGUUGAUGUAAUCGAUAUCGUAAAGGAUCAGCUGUUCGGAGGCGAUUACGUACAGGAGGAGGAUCCAACAUUAUAUGUUUCCGAAAAAACGGGUCGAGGUCCACUGACAGAGUCAUGGUUGGAAGAGUAUUGGAACGACGUCAAAGGAAAGAAGCAACCUACCCCCUCUGGAAAAUCGCUGAUGUGCGCAUACAAAUUGUGCAGAGUCGAGUUUCGGUAUUGGGGCAUGCAAACCAAAUUGGAAAAAUUCAUUCAAGACAUAGCCUUAAGGAAAACGAUGGUCCGCGCGCAUCGUCAGGCAUGGGCAUGGCAAGACGAGUGGAAUGGCUUGACGAUGGAAGAUAUCCGAGAAAUCGAACGGCAGACACAACUGGCGCUUCAAGAAAAAAUGGGCCUCACCGAGGGCGGCGACGGCGAGCAGGUGGACAGCGAAGAUCACGAAGCGUCAGGCAGUGCCAACGCGACAAUCACGCCCCAGGACUCGGAUAAAGUGGCUAAAACGUUAGCCGCGACGCUCGGUAGCAUCGAGAAAACCGAGGAUCCCCAGAGUCCAGCUUCCUUGAGAAAACCGUCCGAAAUUCCCGUUAUCAACACAGCCGUCAGCUCUGAAGCCGAUAACACUCCCGAAGACUCGCCUACCGACAUCGUACCUCCAAGGAGAGAAAAAUCUGCUAAAACGGAUAAAGACAGGGUAUGGAAGAAGAGCAGUUCGUCGUUGCACUCUCCAAAGUCGACAAAAAGUUUAUCCAAUCAAAUAGCCAAUUGGCGAAUGGAAAGUAUCGUAAGAGAAUCUGAAUCCGGAAGCGAAGAUGAAUUUUUCGAUUGUCAAGAAAAUUUUGAACUCGAGGAUAACUCGUCAUUAGCUAAAUGGAGUUCUUUGGAUCUUCUAGCAGAAGAGGAGGAUUUGACCUCACCGACUGCUCUGGAUACGGAAAAGCAGGAUGACACGAUAUUCUCGCACGCCUACCUUCAACGUGUAGCAAGUGAGCGUAGCGGAAAACGGCUGGGGAUCCGGGCUUCGGCAAGCAUCGACGUCUCUUGCCCAGCAUCGCCCCAGCAUUCGCCCACCCAUCAGCCUUGCAACACCACAGUACUUCUCAUUGUCAUGCACGCAGGCAGUGUUUUAGAUGCCAAUGUAGACUUGACUGCGAAAAAAUCCGACAUAACGACUUUCAAAGGAGCUUUUGAGUCGGUAAUAAGACAACACUACCCAACGAUGGUUGGUCACAUAAGCAUAAAGUUCGUCUCCUGCCCAUCGAUCUGUACCGAAGGUCUCGGAAUAUUAUCUAGCCUCAGCCCGUACAGCUUCGACGUGUCGCCGUCGUGCAUGGACACGCCGCAGAUCACGCACGACACGAUACCGAUCGGCGCGAUACCGCUGCUGGCCACCUCGACGCCCGAGUACCAUGACUCGGUUUCCAAAGUCGUCACGGCGGCCAACCAGGUCUACCUGGAAUUCUGCCGCAGCGAGGAGGGCCGCGGCUUCAACGGCCAGGUCUGCUUCAUCGGUGACUCGGUCGGCUCCAUAUUGGCCUACGACGCUUUAUGCAGAACGUCGCAGUACCAGUCGCGCCACGACAGCGAGAACAGCAUACUCGAGCCGACGCAGCACGACAAUCACGAGUCCGCGACGACGGUCGACGACGGCAGACACCUGUCGGCUCCCUCGCCAAGAAGAAGGUCCUCGUCUACGAGCGACCACUCGCAUCAGUGCAAACUCGAUUUCGAAGUAAACGAACUAUUCAUGUUCGGCAGUCCCCUAUCUCUCGUUUUAGCCUACAGAAGAAUAUCGUCGAACAGCGGGGAGAAAAGCAGCAACAUCAACAGGCCGUGCGUCAAUCAAGUGUACAAUUUGUUUCACCCGUCGGAUCCCGUGGCCGCGCGUCUAGAGCCCCUGAUCUCGGCUCGUUUCUCCCUCCUGCCACCCGUCAACGUCGCUCGCUAUCAAAAGUAUCCUCUCGGCAACGGUCAUCCCUAUCAUUUACUGGAGACCAUUCAAACGAAUCCUCAAAUUUUUGCCGACGGACUAAACGUGCCUAAUGUGACCAUGUCCCACAUACGAAGACUGUCGGAUAUAUCAAUUCAUAGUACCAUGUCUGGUAUAGAUACCGUACCUCUUCAAGCUGUAUCUUCUCUCACUCAGAAAUGGUGGGGCACCAAGAGAAUAGACUACGCCUUGUACUGUCCGGAGGGCCUGGCCAACUUCCCGACCAAUGCGCUACCCCAUCUGUUUCACGCGAGCUACUGGGAGUCGUCGGACGUGAUCGCCUUCAUCGUGCGCCAGCUGGGCAGGUUCGACCUGCAGCUCCUCGGCAACGACGACAAGGAGCUCACCAACUUCCGUCCAGGCCAGCCGAGAGAGAAGUGGAACAAGAAGCGCACCUCGGUCAAGCUAAAGAAUGUCUCGGCUAAUCACCGAGCGAACGACGUCAUCGUUCGAGACGGCACGCCCCAGGUACUGGUGGCGAGAUUCGUCUACGGUCCCAUAGGGGUAAUCGCUUUGACCGGCGAAAAAGUUGACAUUCACAUAAUGAAGGACGUACGGGCGGGCGAGUGGGUGCUCUUCUCUACCGAAGUCACGGAUAAAACCGGCAGAAUCAAUUACCAGAUUCCCGAGGACAAAACUCUAGGCUAUGGACUCUAUCCCGUGAAAAUGAUCGUGAGAGGGGACCACACAUCCGUGGACUUCUUCAUGGCGGUGAUCCCACCGAAAACCGAGUGCGUGGUCUUCAGUAUCGACGGCUCGUUCACCGCCAGCGUAUCCGUCACGGGAAGGGAUCCCAAAGUCCGUGCUGGCGCCGUCGACAUCGUCAGGCACUGGCAGGAGCUCGGCUAUCUUAUAAUCUACAUAACCGGCCGACCGGAUAUGCAGCAACACAAAGUCGUUUCGUGGCUAUCGCAGCACAACUUCCCGCACGGUCUCGUAUCCUUCGCCGACGGUCUGACGACCGACCCGUUGGCCCAUAAAGCUGCUUAUCUGAAAAAUCUAGUUCAGGAGCAUGGAGUAGUGAUCCAUCACGCGUACGGCAGCAACAAGGACAUAAGCGUCUACCAGAUGGUAAAUUUGCUGCCCCAGCAGAUCUUCAUCGUCGGAAAAGUGCCACGAAAAAAUCACGCUUUAGCCACGGUGCUGCACGAGGGUUAUGCGGCUCACCUCGCUACCCUACAGGCCCACGGAGGCUCGCGACCGGCCCAGGGCAAUGCACGCAUGGUUUUACCUAGAGGACAGUUUGGUCUUCCAGGACAGAACGCGUCGCUUCGACGCCGAAGCAACGACACGGCGCCAGUCAGCUCGUCCUCGGCGCGCAGCAGUGUGUACUUAAAAGGAAAGUCUACCUUAGUCACAUCUAAUACACGACUAUUAUCUACGUACAAUUAACUUACUCAUAUUGGUGCCGAGAGUGAAGAUGCAUGCGUUCGGCCAGCGUUCAAUUGAAUGAAAUUUAUCCGAAAAAAACCGAGACUACAACGAUUUAAUCAAAAUAAACUGACGAAACAAAGUCAAAUAGACUUCAUUGUUAAUGUAAAACUGUACGGCCUACUUUCACUCUCGCCAUCAUCAUCAACAUUCUACAUACCAGCGUCGUAUCACGGCGAGACUAUUUGGAUUUGUGCGGGCCUUGACAUGUCUACUUUAUUCGCUGAAAAAAUACACGUAAAUACGCAUACGUUCCGGCAAGUGCUGAAAAUUUUUCGUAUUGGACGGCGACGACUAUGACGAUUGCGACCACGAGACGAUAUAUUUGUCCACACGUAUUACGCAUAAAAAGCUUUCGGGGGGUCACGCACGUGACCGAGAUCAACCAAGAGAGCCACGUCACAACCUGUGGGCGCAGCAGUGGGCUUCGAGGACAAAUGUGGUGUAGGCGCAGCAACUGGUGC
rnacentral:misc_RNA from 1 species